GACAGAGGGUGCGAGCGUUAAUCGGAAUUACUGGGCGUAAAGCGUGCGUAGGCGGUUUCGUAAGUCGGGUGUGAAAUCCCCGGGCUCAACCUGGGAAUUGCAUUCGAAACUGCGAGGCUAGGGUACGGAAGAGGGAAGCGGAAUUUCUGGUGUAGCGGUGAAAUGCGUAGAUAUCAGAAGGAACAUCAGUGGCGAAAGCGACUUCCUGGUCCAGUUCCGACGUUCAGGCACGAAAGCGUGGGGAGCAAACAGG
rnacentral:rRNA from 1 species